GCCCCCGGGGCGGGUCCCGGCCGGGAGGGGCGCUCGGGGACCUCGCGGGAGGUCGCCCCCGGCCGCCGGGCCGCCCGGGCCUCUUUUAACCUUGGUCCCUCCCGCGCGCUCGCUCUUCCGCCCCGGCGCGCGACCCGGCUCAGUCCAGUUCAAGAUGCUGAUGAAGUUCAGGGCUGGUGCUUGAAAGACAAUUGGGGUGCUUGAAAGAAGCUUUUCAAGUAGAAAAAGUGUAUUUGAACAUGUAAUUGAUACAUAGAAGCUUUUGCUUUCCUUGUCCCUCUUGUGGUAGUAGCAGGGGUGAAUUUUGUGAUGACAAUUAUCUCUAAAAACCUAUCCCUACCUGCUCCCAUAGAUAAUUUUGUAGAAUAUAGUUUAUUAUUUAAUGUAGUCUUUCUACCAACCAACCAGCCCCAGCCUGAAGCUUGGCAUAGGAACCAGACAAGCUAUUCUACAACUGAAAUCUUAUUCUUUUGAUUUGUCCUGAAGAUAUGUUUCAAAGUAUCCUUUUAAAAAUUUGGUUUUAUAUGCUUACAGAUUUUUCCAUAAUAGAUCAUUUUAAUGAUUAAAUGUGAUCCUUUUGACAGGGGACAGAUCAAUGGAUUCUCAAAGAUUAGCAAGGGGUUGGUUACAAAGGGGCAUGAGGGAGCUUUGAGGAAAUGUUCCAUAUCUUGUCUAUGGUAGUGAUGGCAUUUGUCAAAUUUGGGGGUGAGUUUUGCCACAUGUAAAUUACACUUCAAUAAAUUGUGACUUUUAAAACUU